rnacentral:tRNA from 2 species
GGUCUUAUAUUCAUGUUUGUGAUGCUAGAAUGCAAUUCUAGCGGGGUGGUCAGGUACCACUAAGGUCU